GUAGACACCUAUUUCAGGUUAGCUCAAGUCUCCCACUGGAGUUUGCUGCCUCUCUCUAACGACCUAGAAGAGGAACCACCUACGAGUAACUUGUGCCUCUCUCCCCAUUGGCUGAGAGGUUCUCAUCUGGUGGAGAAGACCUUUUCCGGAGAACCCAAAGGACAGCAACACUGAAGAAAAUGGACACCGUGCCCAACACCAAAGUCAGCCCCAGGCAUAAUGACAGCAACAACAACAGCAGCAACAAUAACAUCAUUAUGUUUUAUCAGCAAAAAGAGUCCCAACUGAGCUUUUGUUCUUUCCUUCACGUUUUCAAAACAUUUUUUCCUGGGGGUGGGAGGAAAGCACAAUGUGUUCUCCCAUUUUUCUCUUACCCUUGUUAUUCCAUUCUUCCUUUCUAGUGACACCUUUCAUGAAUGCAGUUCAGAUAAUUA